UAGGGAAUAUUGGUAAUCUGGGAAACCGGGGACCAGCCACGCCGCGUGCGCGAUGAAGGCCUUCCGGUUGUAAAGCGCUUUUUGAGAGGAUGAGUAAGGACAGUACUCUUAGAAUAAGCCUCGGCUAACUACGUGCCAGCAGCCGCGGUACAACGUAGGAGGCGAGCGUUAUCCGGAUUUACUGGGCGUAAAGCGGGUGUAGGGGGUUUGAUAAGUUGGAUGUGAAAGCUCCUGGCUUAACUGGGAGAGGUCGGUCAAAACUAUCAGACUUGAGAGUGGUAGAGGGAGGUGGAAUUCCGCAUGUAGGGGUGAAAUGCGUAGAUAUGCGGAGGAACACCAGUGGCGAAAGCGGCCUCCUGGCCCAUUUCUGACGCUCAGACACGAAAGCUAAGGUAGCAAACG
rnacentral:rRNA from 1 species